rnacentral:rRNA from 1 species
CCUACGGGUGGCAGCAGUGGGGAAUAUUGGGCAAUGGGCGCAAGCCUGACCCAGCAACGCCGCGUGAAGGAAGAAGGCUUUCGGGUUGUAAACCUCUUUUAAGGGGGAAGAGCAGAAGACGGUACCCCUUGAAUAAGCCACGGCUAACUACGUGCCAGCAGCCGCGGUAAUACGUAGGUGGCAAGCGUUGUCCGGAUUUACUGGGUGUAAAGGGCGUGCAGCCGGAGAGACAAGUCAGAUGUGAAAUCCACGGGCUCAACCCGUGAACUGCAUUUGAAACUGUUUCCCUUGAGUGUCGGAGAGGUAAUCGGAAUUCCUUGUGGAGCGGUGAAAUGCGUAGAUAUAAGGAAGAACACCAGUGGCGAAGGCGGAUUACUGGACGAUAACUGACGGUGAGGCGCGAAAGCGUGGGGAGCAAACAGGAUUAGAUACCCCUGUAGUC